AGAUCUAAUCCAGAGUACCACGAGACACGUGAAACCUUGUGGGAAGCAGGGAGGACCACCUCCCAAGGCUAAAUACUACCUAGUGACCGAUAGUGAAGCAGUACCGUGAGGGAAAGGUGAAAAGAACCCCGGAAGGGGAGUGAAAUAGAACCUGAAACCGUGUGCCUACAACCGAUCGGAGCACGUUAAAGUGUGACGAUGUGCUUUUUGUAGAACGAGCCAGCGAGUUACGCUAUGUAGCAAGGUUAAGUACUUAAGGUAUGGAGCCGAAGGGAAACCGAGUCUGAAAAGGGCGAAAAGUUGCAUGGUGUAGACCCGAAACCGGGUGACCUAUCCAUGGCCAGGUUGAAGCGAGAGUAAAAUCUCGUGGAGGACCGAACCACGUUGGUGUUGAAAAACCAUGGGAUGAGCUGUGGAUAGCGGAGAAAUUCCAAUCGAACUCGGAGAUAGCUGGUUCUCCUCGAAAUAGCUUUAGGGCUAGCGUCGUGUAAUUGAGUAAUGGAGGUAGAGCACUGAAUGGGCUAGGGGCUAUAGUAGUUACCGAACCCUAUCAAACUCCGAAUGCCAUAUACUUGUAUCACGGCAGUCAGACUGCGAAUGAUAAGAUCCGUAGUCAAAAGGGAAACAGCCCAGACCAUCAGCUAAGGUCCCAAAGUGUAAGUUAAGUGGAAAAGGAUGUGGGAUUUCUAAGACAACUAGGAUGUUGGCUUAGAAGCAGCCACUCAUUUAAAGAGUGCGUAAUAGCUCACUAGUCAAGAGAUCCUGCGCCGAAGAUGUCCGGGGCUCAAACUUACCACCGAAGCUAUGGGUGUACACUAUGUGUACGCGGUAGAGGAGCUUUCUGUAUGGGUUGAAGUCGUACCGUAAGGAGCGGUGGACUGUACAGAAGUGAGAAUGCUGGCAUAAGUAGCGAGAAAUAAGUGAGAAUCUUAUUGGCCGAAAACCUAAGGUUUCCUGAGGAAGGUUCGUCCGCUCAGGGUUAGUCGGGACCUAAGCCGAGGCCGAAAGGCGUAGGUGAUGGACAAUCGGUUGAUAUUCCGAUACCACCUAUUUACGUUUGAGAAAUGGGGUGACGCAGUAGGAUAAGAUGUGCGCACUAUUGGAUGUGCGUCUAAGCACUUAGGCAUGCUUGAUAGGCAAAUCCGUCGAGCUAAGCUGAGGUGUGAUGGGGAGCCAUUUAUGGCGAAGUAUCUGAUUCCACACUGCCAAGAAAAGCCUCUAUCGAGUGAAUAGGUGCCCGUACCGCAAACCGACACAGGUAGGUGAGGAGAGAAUCCUAAGGCCAUCGGAAGAAUUGCUGUUAAGGAACUCGGCAAAUUGACCCCGUAACUUCGGGAGAAGGGGUGCCUACGAAAGUAGGCCGCAGAGAAUAGGCCCAAGCAACUGUUUAGCAAAAACACAGGUCUCUGCUAAAGCGAAAGCUGAUGUAUAGGGGCUGACGCCUGCCCGGUGCUGGAAGGUUAAGGGGAACACUUAGCGUAAGCGAAGGUGUGAACUUAAGCCCCAGUAAACGGCGGCCGUAACUAUAACGGUCCUAAGGUAGCGAAAUUCCUUGUCGGGUAAGUUCCGACCCGCACGAAUGGCGUAAUGAUUUGGGCACUGUCUCAACAGCAAAUCCGGCGAAAUUGUAGUGCAAGUGAAGAUGCUUGCUACCCGCGAUUGGACGGAAAGACCCCGUAGAGCUUUACUGUAGCUUAGCAUUGAAUCUCGGUAUUGUCUGUACAGGAUAGGUGGGAGACUUGGAA
rnacentral:rRNA from 1 species